rnacentral:rRNA from 1 species
UACGAAGGGGGCUAGCGUUGCUCGGAUUGACUGGGCGUAAAGGGCGCGUAGGCGGUUCGUACAGUCAGACGUGAAAUUCCUGGGCUCAACCUGGGGGCUGCGUUUGAUACGUGCGGACUUGAGUGCGGAAGAGGGUCGUGGAAUUCCCAGUGUAGAGGUGAAAUUCGUAGAUAUUGGGAAGAACACCGGUGGCGAAGGCGGCAUCCUGGACCAACACUGACACUGAGGAGCGAAAGCCAGGGGAGCAAACGGG